CAAAUAGUAUAAGUAUGUCCCAUACAAUAUUUAGGGAAUACUUACACUAAAA
rnacentral:miRNA from 1 species